rnacentral:rRNA from 1 species
CUCAAUGACAUAAUUGAAAUUGGUUAAUUAUUUUUUUUUAAUUUUUAAAAAUUAUUUUUAUUGUCUCAGCAGUGCAAUAAAUUCUCAGUGAUAUGGCUAUGUGGCUGUAAUAAAAGUGGAUAUUGAACCUUAAACUAAUGUAUACGGCCAUACUAGGUUGGAAACACAUCAUCCCGUUCGAUCUGAUAAGUAAAUCGACCUCAGGCCUUCCAAGUACUCUGGUUGGAGACAACAGGGGAACAUAGGGUGCUGUAUACUUUAUUUAUUUUUUUAAAAAAAUUCUUUUUUAAUUAUAAUGUCAUCCAUUUAUAAUAAUUUAUAUACCAUUGAAUAGAUAAUUUAAAGAGCUAUUCAAUGAUAAUAAUUUUAUUAAAAAUGAAUUUGCUUUUAAUUUAUAAAAUUAAUAAAAAUUAUUUUUUUAAUUUUAAUAUCGAAUUUAAUAAUUUAAAAUUAAAUUUAAAUCAGUUAAAAAUAGCACCAAUCGAUAGAGAAUUAAAAUUAGAAUCUAUAGAGGUUUAUUUCAUUUAAUUUGAAGGUCAUUUCAUUGGGUAAAAGCUUUAUUUUUUAAUUUUUUUUUUUUGAAAUUUUUUGAGAUGAAAAAAUUUAAUUUAAUAUUUUAUAAUGUGAAUUAUUUUUUUAAAUAAGAUUUUAAAGUCUUAAAAG